rnacentral:lncRNA from 1 species
CUGCCUGGGAGGAGCACUGCUCACAGUGGGCUGGGCCUUUCCACAUCAAUCAUUAACCAGGAAAACGCCCACAGACUUUCUUAACAAGAAGUCUGAUGGAAGCACCUUCUCAGUCCUUCUAGGAGGAUUAUAGCUUAUGUCAAGUUGACAAAUACUAAGCACAGUGUACAUCUGUGUGUCUUGUUUCCAGGUUUGCCAAAGACCCCACAGCCACCUGGCCCUGUGUGCUAUGUUGUUUGAACAGGAUCCUGGGAUUUCUAAGCAAGUUAUAGCCUGGGGGCUUUGUUAGAGGGUUCUUUGGAGGAGGGCUGGGGUGGGUCUGAGCCGGCAUUCUAAGGAAUUCCCAGAUAUAACGGCAAGGAGCACUGCGACUCCUCAGCAGUGUUGUGUUCCCAGUGCCUGCCAAGUGUGUCCUGCUCAUCUCAUGCCUUGGUCAAAGCUUCCCUUAGGAGGUCUGUGGCUUCUACUGCAGCAGUGUUGCUGUAGGUGGGCAACUUAUCCUUAUCUCUGGGAUCUUACUUUAGUUAUAGAUCCCAUCUAAUGUCACUGGACUUUGGGACAUGGUCUAAAGAUUUACACUAAGAUUUGCAUUAGUGUCUCAGCUGGAGUUACAGCUGUGAGAUUUGGGGAUAAAGGCUCAUGAGCUGUGCACUGGGAUUUGGGAAACGUUUUGGGGCAUCUUCCUGGGGUUAGGCAGUGGCCGACCUUGAGCACGUGGGAUGUGUGUUUUGUCAGCCUUCUCCGGGAGUUGAUGGGUGGAGAAUGUGGUUACUCAGCCCCGUGGGUAUGGUCAAGAGCCAUUGCCAGGCACCCAUUCUGAUCACCCCAGACAGGUCUGGCUUUUUGGAAGUUCCUAGAAUAGUUCUUAAUUCCUCAGAAAGCUCUGCUGUGUGGUGAACUGUGUGUGUGGCCUCCAGCUACCUUUAGAUCCUUCUGUCAUAUGGUCGGAGCUCCUGCUGUUUUACUGCUGGGAUGAACAAGGUUUCCCUUGGUUUUCAAGCAUGCUCACUGCCUUGCUGAGGCUUCUUUCCCACUCUUCUCAUGGGUCAUAGUCAUACAAAGACUUACAGCAUUGUUUCAUUUCUUUGUUCCAAUAAUGUUUAAGUAAAAUGUAAACUUUACCAUAUAGAUGAAAUAAAUUCCAAUUUUGAA